CCUACGGGGAGCUGCAGUGAGGAAUAUUGGUCAAUGGACGAGAGUCUGAACCAGCCAAGUAGCGUGAAGGAUGACUGCCCUAUGGGUUGUAAACUUCUUUUAUAUGGGAAUAAAACGUUCCACGUGUGGGAUUUUGUAUGUACCAUAUGAAUAAGGAUCGGCUAACUCCGUGCCAGCAGCCGCGGUAAUACGGAGGAUCCGAGCGUUAUCCGGAUUUAUUGGGUUUAAAGGGAGCGUAGGUGGAUUGUUAAGUCAGUUGUGAAAGUUUGCGGCUCAACCGUAAAAUGGCAGUUGAAACUGGCAGUCUUGAGUACAGUAGAGGUGGGCGGAAUUCGUGGUGUAGCGGUGAAAUGCUUAGAUAUCACGAAGAACUCCGAUUGCGAAGGCAGUUCACUGGACUGCAACUGACACUGAGGCUCGAAAGUGUGGGUAUCAAACAGGAUUAGAUACCCUUGUAGUC
rnacentral:rRNA from 1 species